UACGUAGGUGGCAAGCGUUGUCCGGAUUUACUGGGCGUAAAGGGCGUGCAGGCGGUUUGUUUAGUCCAGGGUGAAAGCUCCCGGCUCAACUGGGAGAGGUCCUUGGAUACUGGCAGACUUGAGGGAGGUAGAGGAGAGUGGAAUUCCCGGUGUAGUGGUGAUAUGCGUAGAUAUCGGGAGGAACACCAGUGGCGAAGGCGGCUCUCUGGGCCUUACCUGACGCUGAGACGCGAAAGCGUGGGGAGCGAACCGG
rnacentral:rRNA from 1 species